ACUCCUGUCUGCACAGUCGAAGGAGAAACAGACCCACGGGACGAGACGAGGAGUGGGGGGACACAGACAAACACUGAGAGAGAGAGCGUGGGGGGGGGGCGACAACUGUGAAGUUCGACUUCAGAGUGUGACCCUGGAGAGCAUAAGGACAGUGACAUUGAGACAGAGGAAACAAGUCAAAACUGUACUCUCAGAGGGGCACUUCACACUCACUUCACAGCAACUCCUGCAACCUGUUGAUCGGUACAGAUAUUCACACGGAGCGACAGUAAAGUGGGCCUGCUGUUCAAAUGCACUGUAAUGUUGGCAGUGGAAUAUUGCCCUGAUCUUAGGUAUGCCACCGUGGACCGGCUCUAUUACAAAGAUGUACACACUCACAUUCUGUAAUGAAACACGUUACUUGGAAAUAUGCCUGGCUUCUUAUUGCAUUUACAGAUCAUAAAUGUCUUCACUUUUUAUGAAACCUUAUAAGCUACUUUGACCAAAAAUGUAUGUAAAAAGAAAGAAAUAUGUUCAAAUGCAUUCUUGUGAUAAACUGUUUCUUAAAGGUGGGGUACGUAAUUUUGGAGAAACCAGCUCGAGUGCGCUAGAAUUUGAAAAUACACAAAGGAAAAAAUCUGCCUCUUCCUUCGGACUUCCUUACAGAGCCCCUCCUCCAACACACACGAACGCACACAUGACCAAUGAGGGCACAAGAUAAGUUUGUGCACAGAUGGAAGGCUGACAGGCAGGUAGGCCAUCCAGUUAUUUGAGCCGGGGCGGCUCAAAUGAUUGGUCGUGCUUUUUACAGUACUACGGCUUCCACAGAUGACGUUUUUUUAUGGAUUUAUUGUCAAAGCAUUUAAGAUAUUCAUUGCUAUCGGGAUGAUAAGAGCAUUCCAUGGAAUAUAACAAAAAGUGUUUCUGAAAUAAAUUACAUACCCCACCUUUAAUAAGGUCUGAUGAAAAAUGUGUUUCACCGUUUUUGCUUUCUUUUGACUUAUUUUUCAGGUUUCAAAGCUUCGUUUUUUUUGUCGGUUUUAUGCCUGUUUGUGAAAUAAAUAAAUAAACAAAUAAAAA